UACAGGGGGGGCAAGCGUUGUCCGGAAUUACUGGGCGUACAGCGCGCGCAGGCGGUCCACUACGUGCCGUGUGACAGACGUCGGCUUAACCGACGUAGGCCAGGGUACACGGGUGAACUUGAGGCAGAGAGAGGGAUGUGGAAUACCCGGUGGAGCGGUGAAAUGCGCAGAUAUCAGGAAGAACACCCGUGGCUAAGGCGGCUCUCUAGUACGGUACUGACGCUGAGACGCGAAAGCGUGGGGAGCGAACAGG
rnacentral:rRNA from 1 species